rnacentral:rRNA from 1 species
AUUGAACGCUGGCGGCAUGCCUUACACAUGCAAGUCGAACGGCAGCACGGGUGCUUUCACCUUGUGGCGAGUGGCGAACGGGUGAGUAAUACAUCGGAACAUGUCCUGUAGUGGGGGAUAGCCCGGCGAAAGCCGGAUUAAUACCGCAUCCGAUCUACGGGUGAAAGCGUGGGACCUUCGGGCCUCGCGCUUUAGGGUUGUCCGAUGGCUGAUUAGCUAGUUGGUGGGGUAAAGGCCUACCAAGGCGACGAUCAGUAGCUGGUCUGAGAGGACGACCAGCCACACUGGGACUGAGACACGGCCCAGACUCCUACGGGAGGCAGCAGUGGGGAAUUUUGGACAAAGGGCGAAAGCCUGAUCCAGCAAUGCCGCGUGUGUGAAGAAGGCCUUCGGGUUGUAAAGCACUUUUGUCCGGAAAGAAAUACUUGGCCCUAAUACGGUCGGGGGAUGACGGUACCGGAAGAAUAAGCACCGGCUAACUACGUG